AUUAUGAGAGUUUGAUCCUGGCUCAGGACGAACGCUGGCGGCGUGCCUAAUACAUGCAAGUCGAACGCUUCUUUCCUCCCGAGUGCUUGCACUCAAUUGGAAAGAGGAGUGGCGGACGGGUGAGUAACACGUGGGUAACCUACCCAUCAGAGGGGGAUAACACUUGGAAACAGGUGCUAAUACCGCAUAACAGUUUAUGCCGCAUGGCAUAAGAGUGAAAGGCGCUUUCGGGUGUCGCUGAUGGAUGGACCCGCGGUGCAUUAGCUAGUUGGUGAGGUAACGGCUCACCAAGGCCACGAUGCAUAGCCGACCUGAGAGGGUGAUCGGCCACACUGGGACUGAGACACGGCCCAGACUCCUACGGGAGGCAGCAGUAGGGAAUCUUCGGCAAUGGACGAAAGUCUGACCGAGCAACGCCGCGUGAGUGAAGAAGGUUUUCGGAUCGUAAAACUCUGUUGUUAGAGAAGAACAAGGACGUUAGUAACUGAACGUCCCCUGACGGUAUCUAACCAGAAAGCCACGGCUAACUACGUGCCAGCAGCCGCGGUAAUACGUAGGUGGCAAGCGUUGUCCGGAUUUAUUGGGCGUAAAGCGAGCGCAGGCGGUUUCUUAAGUCUGAUGUGAAAGCCCCCGGCUCAACCGGGGAGGGUCAUUGGAAACUGGGAGACUUGAGUGCAGAAGAGGAGAGUGGAAUUCCAUGUGUAGCGGUGAAAUGCGUAGAUAUAUGGAGGAACACCAGUGGCGAAGGCGGCUCUCUGGUCUGUAACUGACGCUGAGGCUCGAAAGCGUGGGGAGCAAACAGGAUU
rnacentral:rRNA from 1 species